rnacentral:lncRNA from 1 species
GUGCGUCUUGGAAGAGUGUUGCCAUCGUAUACGCUAAAAGCUGAUUGGCUCCGCCAUCUUUUGCUCAGAUUUCCGGAUUAAUAUGGAAGGGGUAAACAGAUGAUCAGUUGUUUAUUUUUCGUUUACUCUGGUUUAACCUCACUUAACUAGAUAGAUCGAGAAAUAUUAAAUUACUAUUACUAUUAUUCAGGUUGAAAAAUGCCUUCCUGUAAGGUAAAAGGUUGCGAAGUCGAUUGGGGAAAAAUAAUGUGAAAAUGAAUUCUUUCCCAAAAGAAUCUGAACGACGGAAAGUGUGGAUUAAAAAUAUAGGGUUAAAACAAGAUCCAAACAAAUAUGCUGUUGUUUGUGAAGAACACUACUUCUGACAUGUGGAAAAAAGUUAGACAAGAUGGCAGCAGAAAAUUAAAAUGCAUUGCUGUACCAACAAUAUUUAGAGAAGAAAGCGAAAGUAUUUAAUUAUUUA